rnacentral:rRNA from 1 species
AGUGAACGCUGGCGGUAGGCCUAACACAUGCAAGUCGAACGGCAGCACGGUAAGAGCUUGCUCUUACGGGUGGCGAGUGGCGGACGGGUGAGGAAUACAUCGGAAUCUACUUUUUCGUGGGGGAUAACGUAGGGAAACUUACGCUAAUACCGCAUACGACCUACGGGUGAAAGCAGGGGAUCUUCGGACCUUGCGCGAUUGAAUGAGCCGAUGUCGGAUUAGCUAGUUGGCGGGGUAAAGGCCCACCAAGGCGACGAUCCGUAGCUGGUCUGAGAGGAUGAUCAGCCACACUGGAACUGAGACACGGUCCAGACUCCUAAGGGAGGCAGCAGUGGGGAAUAUUGGACAAUGGGCGCAAGCCUGAUCCAGCCAUACCGCGUGGGUGAAGAAGGCCUUCGGGUUGUAAAGCCCUUUUGUUGGGAAAGAAAAGCAGCAGGUUAAUACCCCGCGGUUCUGACGGUACCCAAAGAAUAAGCACCGGCUAACUUCGUG